rnacentral:rRNA from 1 species
GAAAGAGCAGAAAAAAAAAAAGGAAUUGAACAACUUUG